CGCAUCCCCCACCUUCCUCGCCUCCGACCCCGCCGAGGCCGCACCACGACUCUUUUUUUUUUCCUCUCCGACUCUCCUCCACCGUCUCCGACGACGACGCCUCUCUCACCCUUCCCCGCCCUUCUCGUCCUCUACCUCUCCCUCCUCUUCUUCCGCCUCCAACAACGACGUAUCUUCGUCGACGCCGACACCGUGGAGGUCGCUGCGGCGCUGCAGCCUCGGAACUGGGGGUCCUUAGCGGCGUCGUCGCCGGCGCCGUGGCUGUUGGCAGAAAGGGAUGACAAAAAAAAUAUAUAGAAGAAGCAAGAAAAAAAAAUAAAGAUAAAAAAUUGUAGAAAAAUAAAGAUGAAGAUGAAAUUGCACCUUUAAAAUAAAAUUGUACUGUUUUAAAAGAACGUUGUACUAUUAUGGAUAUAAGUUGCACUACUUAAGAUGUAAACUGCAGCUUUAAGAUGAAAAUUACACUCUUUAAAUGAAAAUUACACUCUUUGGGAGAUAUUUAUACUGUUUCUCCUCUUAUUGCACUCUUUCAGAUGUAAACUGCAUCCAUUAAGAUGAAAGUUGCACUCUUUGAGAGAUAUUUACACUGUUUCUCGUCUUGUUGCACUCUUUGAGAUGUAAACUGCACCCAUGUAAGAGAUAUUUACACUGUUUCUCCUCCUGUUGCACUGUUUCUCCUCUUGUUAUACUAUUUUUAUCUUAAACUGCACCCUUUAAGAGGAGAAACAGUGUAAUAAGAGAAAAAUAGUGCAACAAGAGAAAAAAUAGUGCAACAAGAGGAGAAACAGUAUAAAUAUCUUUUAAAUGAGUGUAGUUUACAUCUCAAAGAGUGCAAGAAAGGAAAAAACAGUGUAAAUAUCUCUCAAAGAGUGCAACUUUCGUUUAAAAAGUGUAACUUUUAUCUUAAUGGAUGCAGUUUAUAUCUGAAAGAGUGCAAUAAGAAGAGAAACAGUGUAAAUAUCUACCAAAGAGUGUAAUUUUUGUUUAAAAAAUAUAAUUUUUAUCUUAAAACUGCAAUUUACAUCUUAAGUAGUGCAACUUAUGUCCAUAAUAGUAUAACGUUCUUUUAACGGUGCAAUUUCACCUUCAUCUUUCUUUUUCUAUAAUUUUUUAUUAUUAAUUUUUUUACUUCUUCUAUAAUUUUUUUUGGUCACCGCUCUCUGCCAACGGCAACGGCGUCGGC
rnacentral:lncRNA from 1 species